rnacentral:rRNA from 1 species
GCGGAAAAACUUAAUGAAGGAAGCCUGCUGGGGGAAGACGCCUUUCGGGUGUAAACCUUUUCAGCAGGAAGAAGCCAGAGUGACGGUUCCUGCAGAAGAAGGGCCGGCUAAUUACGUGCCAGCAGCCGCGGUAAAACGUAGGGCGCAAGCGUGUCCGGAAUUAUUGGGGGUAAAGAGCUUGUAGGUGGCUUGUCGCGUUUGCCGUGAAAACCCGAGGCUCAACCUCGGGCGUGCGGUGGGUACGGGCAGGCUAGAGUGUGGUAGGGGAGACUGGAACUCCCGGUGUAGCGGUGAAAUGCGCAGAUAUCAGGAAGAACACCGAUGGCGAAGGCAGGUCUCUGGGCCAUUACUGACACUGAGAAGCGAAAGCAUGGGGAGCGAACAGGAUUAGAUACCCUGGUAGUCCAUGCCGUAAACGUUGGGCACUAGGUGUGGGGGACAUUCCACGUUUUCCGCGCCGUAGCUAACGCAUUAAGUGCCCCGCCUGGGGAGUACGGCCGCAAGGCUAAAACUCAAAGGAAUUGACGGGGGCCCGCACAAGCGGCGGAGCAUGCGGAUUAAUUCGAUGCAACGCGAAGAACCUUACCAAGGCUUGACAUGCACUGGACAGCUGCAGAGAUGUGGCCUUCUUUGGAACUGGUGCACAGGUGGUGCAUGGUUGUCGUCAGCUCGUGUCGUGAGAUGUUGGGUUAAGUCCCGCAACGAGCGCAACCCUCGUUCCAUGUUGCCAGCACGUGAUGGUGGGGACUCAUGGGAGACUGCCGGGGUCAACUCGGAGGAAGGUGGGGAGGACGUCAAAUCAUCAUGCCCCUUAUGUGUUGGGGUUCACGCAUGCUACAAUGGCCGGUACAAUGGGUUGAGAUACUGUGAGGUGGAGCGAAUCCCAAAAAGCCGGUCUCAGUUCGGAUUGGGGUCUGCAACUCGACCCCAUGAAGUCGGAGUCGCUAGUAAUCGCAGAUCAGCAACGCUGCGGUGAAUACGUUCCCGGGCCUUGUACACACCGCCCGUCAAGUCACGAAAGUCGGUAACACCCGAAAGCGCGGGUGGCCCCAUCCCUUU